rnacentral:misc_RNA from 1 species
AACACCAUGACCUCGACUUCCUGCGGAGCGCCGCGAACCGCGAGAUAGAGCGGAAGCGAUGCAAGCGCCGCAAGGCCGCCGAGCAGCCGCGGCCCGAUGAAGGCGCGGUGACGGGCUUUCGUCAUCAAAUCCCCUCGCGCCGAUGGAUGCAGCAGCGAGUCCAGAUGAUCACGUAUGAUGGCGGACAAUCUCACGUUGUUCUCACUG